UACAGAGGGUGCAAGCGUUAAUCGGAUUUACUGGGCGUAAAGCGUGCGUAGGCGGUUCAUUAAGUCGGUUGUGAAAUCCCUGGGCUUAACCUGGGAACUGCAGUCGAUACUGGUGAACUAGAAUGCGGUAGAGGGUGCGGAACUCCGGGUGUAGCGGUGAAAUGCGUAGAUAUCCGGAAGAACACCGAUGGCGAAGGCAACCACCUGGGCCUGCAUUGACGCUGAGGUACGAAAGCGUGGGGAGCAAAC
rnacentral:rRNA from 1 species